rnacentral:rRNA from 1 species
UACGAAGGGGGCUAGCGUUGCUCGGAAUUACUGGGCGUAAAGCGCACGUAGGCGGCUUUCUAAGUCGGGGGUGAAAUCCUGGAGCUCAACUCCAGAACUGCCUUCGAUACUGGCGAUCUAGAGUCCGGGAGAGGUGAGUGGAACUGCGAGUGUAGAGGUGAAAUUCGUAGAUAUUCGCAAGAACACCAGUGGCGAAGGCGGCUCACUGGCCCGGUACUGACGCUGAGGUGCGAAAGCGUGGGGAGCAAACAGG